rnacentral:ncRNA from 2 species
GGUGUUCUCGCAGCGUGGUGGACUGCACCGGCCAGCUACGGCGGCAGCAGAGGAAGCCGGUGCGAAUCCGGCGCGGUCCCGCCACUGUCACCGGGGAAUGAUCCCCGCGAGCCAGGAACUCUCACCGCCGGUCACGUCGUA